AUUGAACUCUAGCGGGAUGCUUUACACAUGCAAGUCGAACGAGUUGCGGACGGUUGAGUAAUAUAUCGGAACGUGCCCAUUAGCGGGGAAUAACUACUGAAAAGAUUGGCUAAUCCCGAUUACUAUUGGCAUGGCCGAUAUCGGUUUAGCUAGUUGGUGGGGUAAAGGCUCACCAAGGCAACGACCCGUCGCUGGUUUGAGAGGACGACCAGCCACACGGGGACUGAGACACGGCCCAGACUCCUACGGGAGGCAGCAGUGGGGAAUUUUGGAAAAUGGGGGAAACCCUGAUCCAGCCAUCCCGCGCGUAUGAGAAGGCCUUCGGGUUGUAAAGUACUUUUGGCAGAGAAGCGGUAUCUGCAGAAUAAGCACCGGCUAACUACGUGCCAGCAGCCGCGGUAAUAC
rnacentral:rRNA from 1 species